ensembl:lncRNA
GGUGGACCUUGGCGUGGGCCGGGUAUCCCACUUGUUCCUUGUGAUUUCAGACUGCCCCUACGAGUCUAAAUCCUGCAAUCCUGCUCCCGGACCCCUACCUAGCUCUCCCUUCAUGACUGUCAGCAGGUGCUCACUAAAGCACAGGGGUGGCAUAAAGAUCUGACUGACCAGUCAUCAGAGGGGGUAGAUGCCAUCUGGUUCAUAGAUGGGAACAGCUUCUUAGAGAAGGAAAAAGAUGGGCUGGGGCAGCAGUGGUAGAUGGAAACAGAGUCAUUUGGGCUCAGGCCCUACCAGAAGGCACCACUACUCAGAGGGUAAAGCUCGCUCCCCUCACCAAAGCCCUUGAGCUGAGAAAGAGACUUAACAUCUCUGUGGACAGCAGGUAUGCCUUUGCUACAGCCCAUCAGCAGAGGGGCCUGCUGACAUCUGAGGGCAAGAAAAGAGAGAUUCUGGCUAUGUGAAGGGCCCUCCAUGACCCAGCCAGGCCGAGGAAGAGACUCUGGUACACCUCAACGGGAAAGAAGAUCCUGCUACAAAAACAGGCAGAGGCCAUGAUAAAACAAAUGGACUCACUUAGGGGAAUAGGUAAAAGUUUUCCCCACCAAGCAAGAGACGGCCUCAAUAGUCAUCAAGAAGAUACUAGAAGAAAUCUUCUCCGUGUUUGGAGUGCCCAAGUUAAUUGGGUCAGACACUGGCCCUGCCUUCGUUGUCAAGGCUUUAGAAACAGUCCAAAGUGGAAUUUGAAGCCAAGUGAAGGACACCUACAAGAUGGGAAGUCCAGGGUGCCUCACCAGUUCCCAGCAGAAGAUGUAGUCCUGGUCCGGUGACACAAGACUGAGAAUUUAGAACCCCACUGGAAAGGACCCUAUCUAGUACUGUUAACCACUCCCACUGCUGUUAAGGUAGAUGGGAUUGCUGCAUGGGUCCACGCCUCCCAUUUGAAGACAGCACCAGAUGUUCUCAAAAAUGAAUGGAAGUUAGAAAAGACUGCGAAUCCUCUUAAGCUUCAUCUCUGUUGUAAGCACUUAUAAUCCCCAUAUCCCCCAGAAACUGAUUUGGUAAGUUUCCUCCCAGGCUGGGGAGGUAAUAUGGUCCAUCUCCAAGGUGACCCCACCAUACACAUGGUGGCCCACUCUCACCCCUGACUUUUAUAAGUUGGUAGCUGGGCUAGACACCUAGGACAUUCCUGACAGAUCUUCAGAGUAUGCCCCUAGAAGUCCCAAAGAGAUUUUCACCUGGGGGCAAGUUUGGAUGCAGAAGUCCAGAAGCAAGGAGCCAAUUGUGGAGACUGAGGUUUUACAUUUGCCCCCGAGAUGUCUGAGACCAGGCUACCAUCCAGCGUUGUGGGGGCUUAGAAAGUUUACACUGUUCUGCUUGGGGAUGUGAGACUAAUUUCCACGCUCCUAGGAUCCUUAGUUAUUCUCUUCUUACUUUUGACAUUUGGACCCUGUAUUUUUAAUAAGUUAACAGCCUUUAUUAGAGAGUUAAUACAGUACAGAUUUUAAUGCUUUACCAACAAUAUCAUGCCUCAAAAGACCUUAGGACAAAUUGAAAAAGGCCCUGAGUUCUAAGAUUAGAACUAGUCACAAGCAGAAGUGGGGAAUUAAAGAAUAAAGAUUUUAAAGUAUCCCCCACUGACCCUGCUGUGAGGACAAGUGCACCUCACAGCAAAGAAUAACAUAACAUAUUUUGGGGAUGUAGCCUGGCUAUAGCCACCACAAACCAUCUGGCCUUGAUAAGGCCUGACUCAACAGUCCUGAGAAAAACGAGAAUUAGGGUCAGCUUGCCCCAGAAGGAGGGUGGCCUAGAGUUGAACUGAGCCCAAGUUACAAACCAAUGAAAUUGCUUUGUGUGACUGUUGCCAACUACCUAUGUAAUUUUCCCUAUAAAUCCCUUCCCCUAAUUGGGCUCGGGGUCAACUCCUCUGUCUCUUGUGUGAGAUACAUGUCGUCCCCAGAGCUCUGGUUCCUCAAAUACACCUCUUGUUUAUUACAUCAAGACUGGUUUCUCGUGAGUUCUUGGGGGUUGUGUUGUCCCGAGAUUUGAGUGGGGGUCUUCCCCACCCCGGUGGUCUUUCACUCUGAGCUUAGGGUCCCCCAGCCCAGUAUAGCCAAGGCCCUGGGGCGUAUAGGGUAAAGGAAAGAACCUCAAAUUACCCUCUUUCCCUGACAGCUUCUUUCACCCGAAAUUUCCCCCCAUGCUGUAGAUGGGACAUGGGGACUGCUUCCUGGCACUCACCUAUGUCCCAGAUCUUUACUUUCAGGAUGGGGUCCAGGCUGGCCUUGGGCUUGUUCUGUAACUGAAGCAGCCUUUCCCACCAGUGCCUCGGGCUCCGAAUUUACCAGGACUGCAGGUCUACAAACCAGCCUGGCUUUUGUUUAAGACUUGGUCAAGGUUCCAGGUGAUGGUGGUUCACACCUUUAGUCCCAGCCCUUGGGAGGCAGAGGCAGGAGGAUCUCUGAGUUUGAGGCCAGCCUGGACUACAGAGUGAGUUCCAGGACACCUGGGGCUACACAGAGAAACCCUGUCCUCAAAAUCAAAGAACUUGGUCAAGGAUGCUCCUUCAUUCUAGAACCUGUGGGUCAUGACCCCUUUGGGGGCCAAAGCACCCUUUCACAGGGGUUGCUUAAGACCAUCAGAAAACACAGAUGUUUCUAUUACUAUUCUUAACAGUAGCAAAGUUAUAGUUAUGAAGUAACAAUGAAAAUAACUUUAUGGUCGGGAUUACCAUGAAGAACUGUAUUAAAGGGUCUCAGGAAGGUUGAGAACUACUGCUCUGGAAACUCCAUACAGAGGUGGGGCAGAGGGCAGUGGGAAGG